UGGGGAAUAUUGGGCAAUGGGCGAAAGCCUGACCCAGCAACGCCGCGUGAAGUAUGAAGGCCUUCGGGUUGUAAACUUCUUUGAUCAGGGAAGAAACAAAUGACGGUACCUGAAAAACAAGCCACGGCUAACUACGUGCCAGCAGCCGCGGUAAUACGUAGGUGGCGAGCGUUAUCCGGAUUUACUGGGUGUAAAGGGCGUGCAGGCGGGCUGAUAAGUCAGAUGUGAAAUCCCCGAGCUUAACUCGGGAACUGCAUCUGAUACUGUUGGUCUUGAGUGCUGGAGAGGAUAGAGGAAUUCCUAGUGUAGCGAUAAAAUGCGCAGAUAUUAGGAGGAACACCAGUGGCGAAGGCGGCUAUCUGGACAGUAACUGACGCUGAGGCGCGAAAGCGUGGGUAGCAAACAGG
rnacentral:rRNA from 1 species